UGCCGGGGUAGCGCAGAGGUAGCGCGCUAGGUUCAUACCCUAGAGGUCGGAGGUUCAAUCCCUCCCCCCGCAACCA
rnacentral:tRNA from 1 species